rnacentral:lncRNA from 1 species
GUCGGACUAGGCUGCGCCGGGGAGUAAACAAGUGGCGGCCAGGGGCGGGCCGGGGGCGUGGGGCUCCGGGCCCCGCCGAGCCAAUUCUCUGGGAAGUUCCCGGCUUGGGAGCGGAGCGGCCGGUCGGAAGAACCUCGGGUGCUGGCGCGCCUGAAGUUGCAGACCAGACUGAAAUGUGCGAGACAUGUGCCUUUUUCUUAGGAAAGGCCCCAGGUACCAGAAAGGUUUUCAGCGCGCCGACCUACGGGGCUAAGAGGGCUGAAAUAAGAACCAGUGACUGAGCGCCGGGAGGUUUAAGGUUUAUGGAAGAUGUUCAUCGCGCCGUACCCUACUAGAGGUUUGGGGACGUGGGACACAGCCCCUGCGUUCCCGCCGCGGACCCCGUGAUAAAUACACAGACACACAAAAUCACUACCGCCUUGAAUCUGGACAGCUACCUCAGGUGGUUAAUAUCUAACAGGAGCAGAGUGGAGCUCAGAAAGACUCAGCGUGGGUGCUGGGUUCCGGCGCGAC